rnacentral:rRNA from 1 species
UGGGGAAUAUUGCACAAUGGGCGCAAGCCUGAUGCAGCCAUGCCGCGUGUAUGAAGAAGGCCUUCGGGUUGUAAAGUACUUUCAGCGGGGAGGAAGGGAGUAAAGUUAAUACCUUUGCUCAUUGACGUAACCCGCAGAAGAAGCACCGGCUAACUCCGUGCCAGCAGCCGCGGUAAUACGGAGGGUGCAAGCGUUAAUCGGAAUUACUGGGCGUAAAGCGCACGCAGGCGGUUUGUUAAGUCAGAUGUGAAAUCCCCGGGCUCAACCUGGGAACUGCAUCUGAUACUGGCAAGCUUGAGUCUCGUAGAGGGGGGUAGAAUUCCAGGUGUAGCGGUGAAAUGCGUAGAGAUCUGGAGGAAUACCGGUGGCGAAGGCGGCCCCCUGGACGAAGACUGACGCUCAGGUGCGAAAGCGUGGGGAGCAAACAGG